UUAAUUUCCCAAUUCUUCGAGUCCAAAAGCCGCCCUGGCACAAUGAGCCUGCCCAGGGGGCCCGAGGUGGGAUCCCAAGGCGGGAUCCCAAGGCCUCUCCAGUCCACCCAGGGUGCACCACCAGCCCGUCUCGCCUGCNCAGCUGGGGAGUUGGANCAUGAGCGCACACAUUAGGACCUGAAAGAUGGUAAACUAUGCCUGGACAGGGCAAAAUCAGAGGAAACUCUGGUGAAGGUCCGUAGCAGUCCUGGUGUGCAAAUCGGUAGUCUAACCUGUAAAUAGGGGCAAAAGACUAAUCGAACCAUCUAGUAGCUGG
rnacentral:ncRNA from 1 species